rnacentral:rRNA from 1 species
AACGAACGCUGGCGGCAUGCCUAACACAUGCAAGUCGAACGAGACCUUCGGGUCUAGUGGCGCACGGGUGCGUAACGCGUGGGAACCUGCCCUUAGGUUCGGAAUAACUCCCCGAAAGGGGUGCUAAUACCGGAUAAUGUCUUCGGACCAAAGAUUUAUCGCCUUUGGAUGGGCCCGCGUUGGCUUAGCUAGUUGGUAGGGUAAAAGCCUAUCAAGGCGACGAUCCAUAGCUGGUCUGAGAGGAUGAUCAGCCACUCUGGGACUGAGACACGGCCCAGACUCCUACGGGAGGCAGCCGUGCGUAAUAUUGGACAAUGGGCGAAAGCCUGAUCCAGCAAUGCCGCGUGAGUGAUGAAGGCCUUAGGGUUGUAAAGCUCUUUUACCCGGGAUGAUAAUGACAGUACCGGGAGAAUAAGCUCCGGCUAACUCCGUG